AGGAGGAAUGCAAUGAUCUUGUUUCUUUGGUUAAGAAAGGACUUCUGGAAAGGCAUACAAUUGCUGCAUUGGAGGAGAAGGUGGCAACUGUACAUAAAGACAUAGUAAAUCAUUGGAUCGACAGAGAACUUGUGAGACUGGAAAGAGCGAUUGACAGAGCACAUAUAAAAGGAUGGAGACAAGAAU